rnacentral:piRNA from 1 species
UUUGGAUUUUCUAAUUGCGAA